rnacentral:sRNA from 1 species
GUCGGGCAGGCUGAUGUGCACCUGUUGUUCAAGAUACUUGGGAGGCUGAGGCAGGAGGAUCACUUGAGCCCAGGAGUUCAAGAGCAGCCUGAGUAAUAUAGUGAAACCUUAGAUUUU